rnacentral:lncRNA from 1 species
UCCUGGUUGCAUUUCUCUUUCUUAUGCUCAGGCAUACACACCAAUCUUAUCAUAUUGGACUCCAAGAACACUACACAAGCUUUUUAUGGCUUCCCCAAGUUUUGUAAGGGAGGACGAAGUCCCUAUGAGUUUUUUUGUUUUCCAUCUACGCUACUUUAGCAAUCAGGAUCCGGGUUGCAUUUCUCUUUCUUAUGCUAAGUCAUACACACCAAACUUAUCAUAUUGGACUCCAAGAACACUACACAAGCUUUUUAUGGCUUCCCCAAGUUUUGUAAGGGAGGACGAAGUCCCUAUGAGUUUUUUUGUUUUGCAUCUAUGCUACUUUAGCAGCUAGGUUCCAGGUUGCAUUUGUCUUUCUUAUACUCAGUCAUACACACUAAUCUUGUCAUAUUGGACUCCAAAAACCCUAAACAAGCUUAUUAUGGCUUCCCCAAGUUUUGUAAGUGAGGACUGUAAGAAUGUGGAGUUUAGGUUUGCGAGAAUGGGACUAAGAUGCCGAAAUGAGAUUGAGAGAUUUGAGAGAAAUAGAUUUGAUGAUGAGAAAGAGAGAGAUUUUCUCUUCUUGCUUAAAAUGGCAAUUACAAAGGUUCCCUUUUUAAAGGGCUAUACAAAGAGAAUAUCCAAGAGGAUAUGCUACUCUUAUCUACACUUUGAAAGCGACUUGUACCAACGGUCAUAGGAUCAAAACGCGUCAUAAAGCACUUUUGUCCUCUUCCGUCUUCAAGCUUGCAACGGCUCCAAAGGGAAGGAUCUAGAAGGCUUCUAGAAGACUCUUGAGACCAAACCGAAGCUAAAAGGCCGAGAGACUAACUCAUGGGCCGAGUGAAAUCAUCAACGGUAUGGACGGCCUUCUUUGUCCGUACAGCGCAGGUUGAACCGCGGGUCGUACCGCGGGUUAGCCUGAUCGUCCCGCGGUACGGUCAGAAUCCUUCUUCUUAAAUUUCUCUCGUCCCGAACCCUUCCUUUCUUGAUUCUACUUGACCCGAAAGGCUUCUCUUCAUUAUUUGGUUCAAUAAGGACGAAGUCCCUAUGAGUGUUUUUGUAUUCGAUCUAUGCUACUUUAGCAAUCAGGACCCAGGCUGCAUUUCUCUUUCUUAUACUCAGUCAUACACACCAAUCUUGUCAUAUUGGACUCCAAGAACCCUAUACAAGCUUAUUAUGGCUUCCCCAAGUUUUGUAAGGGAGGACGAAGUCCCUAUGAGUUUUUUUGUUUUCCAUCAACGCUACUUUAGCAAUCAGGAUCCGGGUUGCAUUUCUCUUUCUUAUGCUCAGUCAUACACACCAAACUUAUCAUAUUGGACACCAAGAACACUACACAAGCUUUUUAUGGCUUCCCCAAGUUUU